GCGAAGUCAGACGGGAAGUUCUGAAGUAACUGAUGAUGUGAUCGAGGAAUAAGCAACUUUCCUUGAAUAGACACUGAUCAUCUAUUCCCGCCUUUCACUGGAGAUCGCGCUUCUAGAUCUUUUAUAAAGCAUUCGGCUCAGUUCGUCAAACUUGUCGUAAGGGUUUUUUUUUGAAUGGCAAGACACUAGAACGUUUCAGACUGGUUUUAAUUGGACAGCCAUUUCUUCACGUCUGCACUUUAUUCUCAUCUCAAGUAUCAACGAAAUUAAGUAACAAGAAAAUUUAUCAUGAAACUGUCAGAAAUGAUAUUGUGCGUAAUGGCGGUACUAUUGGUGACGCUCACUGUUGGGAAUGGUGCUCCACAAUGGCGUCCACAGGGAAGAUUUGGAAAGAGAAUAGAUCCAACAUUAUCCCUUUUCCUACACAGAGGGCUAGAAAAAACAUACAAUCUACCAGAGAAAGAUUACUUACCCCAAGAAAAAAUAUUUCUACCAGAAAUAACGGGCGAAAUAUCCAUAGAAGGAUUGGGCACAGAUGCUAGAGAACAUUUAUCGAAGCUUUUACACAGAUUAUGUUCGGAAUCCGGAUUAGAUAACGUCCCAAGAUGCUCAUGGUUGAGAAAAGAAAGAGAUGAAAAUGAGUAGGCGCUUUUGAAGAAAUCCAUCAAGCCCAUCUUAGAAAAUUCCGAUUUAUUAUAUAGAUCACAAAUACUAAUUUGGACCAUUAAUAAUCAUAAUAAGGAUUUCAGACGUCAAAUUUGCCCAAAUUUUACACUACCACCCGGUACUAAAUAAUAUCUGAAAAUAUAAGUACUAAAUUAUUAAUGCAAACAAUGUUGCACUGUGCAGAUUUUCACCAAACAAGAUGACGUGCUAAAUUCACACUUUUUGUAAUUACCAUACGUACCAUAUUGAUUGUAUUGUUAAUUUAUAAAAUCUGUCAAAUAAAGCUCUUAGACAAGAACACUUGAACAUUUAAG